rnacentral:snRNA from 1 species
GUGCUUUGGCAGCACAUAUACUAAAAUUGGAAUGAUACAGAGAAGAUUAGCAUGGCCCCUGCACAAAGAUGACACACAUAUUCAUGAAGCGUUCCAUAUUUUU